rnacentral:rRNA from 1 species
GUCUACGGUCAUGCUACCCUGAACAAGCUCGAUCCCAUCUGAUCUCAGAAUCUAAGCAGGGUUGGGCCUGGUUAGUGCUUGAAUAGAGACCACCUAGGAAGACCAGGUGCUGUCGGCG